UGUCUCUCUGUUUUCCUAUCUCUGCUCUACCAUCUACAGUGUGGGCCUCAUUCUAAGUCUGACUUCCCUAAUGCUCAGAAGAUGGCUAUGUUGAGUCCACAAACUUUUGAAUUCAGAAACAAGAUUGAGUUGAUUUCAGAAGCUCUCCCAGAAGAUCAAGAAAGAACUUUCCAGGAUCUCCAGGAACCUGAAUUGAGUCAUACGCCAAAGUGAGUUUCAUGCUCUUUGGCAAAACAAUCAUUGGCAGGAUAGAUGAAAGUAGCUUAGAAGUGACCAAUAUGUCAAGGUCCCAUGAGAAGACUGAAAAAAAGAGAAGAAAGAGGAAAGAAAAGAAUGACAAGAAAGAGAAAGAAAGAAACCAAUAUGCUCUUUGUUCUUUGCUUUUGCUUCCUCAAGCUUUUCUCUGUCUACAAAGCCAACCUCUCCUGCUCAGCUCAUCAGAACAUUCACUCCACUUUCUGGAAUGAAGUGUUGCCUGAUCCUAGAGUCGCAAUAAAGCCAACUGAGA
rnacentral:lncRNA from 1 species